GUCGAGCGGACCUUCGGGGUCAGCGGCGGACGGGUGAGUAACACGUGGGCAAUCUGCCUGUCAGACUGGAAUAACGCCUGGAACGGGUGCUAAUGCCAGAUAGGCAGCGAGAAGGCAUCUUCUUGCUGGGAAAGGUGCAAUUGCGUCACUGACAGAGGAGCCCGCGGCGCAUUAGCUAGUUGGUGGGGUAACGGCCUACCAAGGCGACGAUGCGUAGCCGACCUGAGAGGGUGACCGGCCACACUGGGACUGAGACACGGCCCAGACUCCUACGGGAGGCAGCAGUAGGGAAUCUUCCGCAAUGGGCGCAAGCCUGACGGAGCAACGCCGCGUGAGUGAGGAAGGCCUUCGGGUUGUAAAACUCAGUCACCUGGGAAGAGUGGUAUGGGGAGUGGAAAGCCCCAUACGAGACGGUACCAGGGGAGGAAGCCCCGGCUAACUACGUGCCAGCAGCCGCGGUAAUACGUAGGGGGCAAGCGUUGUCCGGAAUCACUGGGCGUAAAGCGUGCGUAGGCGGUCUUUCAAGUCCGGGGCGAAAACUCAAGGCUCAACCUUGAGAAUGCCUUGGAAACUGGGGGACUUGAGUACUGGAGAGGCAAGGGGAAUUCCACGUGUAGCGGUGAA
rnacentral:rRNA from 1 species